UGCUGAAAAUUAGUGUCGCCCUUUUUGUUGAUUAGUUCUAGGUCUUUGGGGUUUUCUACAGUGGCUUUGGAUCGGUGAUUGGGAAAAUCUCGAUAAGCUUUGGUGUUUGCGGUAUAAUACAAACACAAAGGUGGCAUAAUGCCACCACUUUGUUAUGCCUGAUACGAGGUUGGCAGGGC